rnacentral:rRNA from 1 species
GACGAACGCUGGCGGCGUGCUUAACACAUGCAAGUCGAACGGUAAAGCGAGUGCUUGCACUCGUGGAUCAGUGGCGAACGGGUGAGUAACACGUGAGUAACCUGCCCAUCACUCUGGGAUAAGCACUGGAAACGGUGUCUAAUACUGGAUACGACCAACCCUUGCAUGGGGUGUUGGUGGAAAGAUUUAUCGGUGAUGGAUGGACUCGCGGCCUAUCAGCUUGUUGGCGGGGUAAUGGCCCACCAAGGCGACGACGGGUAGCCGGCCUGAGAGGGUGACCGGCCACACUGGGACUGAGACACGGCCCAGACUCCUACGGGAGGCAGCAGUGGGGAAUAUUGCACAAUGGGCGAAAGCCUGAUGCAGCGACGCCGCGUGAGGGAUGACGGCCUUCGGGUUGUAAACCUCUUUCAGCAGGGAAGAAGCGAAAGUGACGGUACCUGCAGAAGAAGCACCGGCUAACUACGUG